GCUACCUGCAGUAACUGGCAUCUUCCAGUCUCACAGCAAAUCUCACCAGGAUCCUGGUUGGCAGAUGGCUAAAGAUCAGGCUCUGUCAGUUCUGCACUGAUGUUUUGAGUGAAGACUGUUGCUGGAUGAAAUACUUCAAAAUGUGUGGAAAGCCUGGCUUAAAUACAUCAGAUCUUGGUGCAGAUUCCCUCUGGGGACCGCAUCCAAAUCCAAAUCUCUGUCUUCAUUAGCCUCCAAUUACUUGGUUGAGUUGCACUGAUUAGGAUAAAGUUACCUCUGCAUACAUUGAAGAAGAAUGGAAAACACGUAAGUUCCUCUCUGGGAUGCAAAAUACUGUCACCUGUGCUAGGGCUUUAAAGCUGAUUUUCUGUCUGCUCCCAACUCCUCUGCAGAGAGGUGUUCUGAGGGCAAGUAUUCCUGGAGCAAAGCCUCCCACGUGUCAUCACUGUGAGAUUCUAGGAGGCUCCUGGACUUCUGAUUCAAGAGAGGCAUCUCCAUCCUCCACUGCCUCGUCCAUAAGGAAGCACAGAGGCCAGGGGGUCUUCAUUGCAUGAAAUAUAGGUGGGCUUUUGGAGAGAGUCCUGGGAAGGCAUGUUGUGACAGCAAAGAGCCACAGUGGUGUCAGCAGAUGUGUUCAUACCAAUCUGUAUGUUUGACUUCUGCUUUCUUCCUGCAGUAGCACCCCAAGUUUAAACCUGGAGCAGAAAAGCACCAUUGCCCCCCAAAUUGGCUUUGUGCAGCCAAGCUGCAGCCUCAGGACCAGGUCUGUCCAGACUGACUUCCUCUGGUAGAGACAAGAGUUUUGUGUGGUGGCAGUGCCCUAGCAGACAGUCCUGUUGGAGCCUGGGGUAAGCUGAUUCAAGCAUCACAAAGUUGUUAAGCGACACAGAGAUUUCCUUCUGUUUCAUACACACACGCUGCCAGCUCUCUGCUCUGUACAGUGAGGUUUCCACCAUGAUGAGUAUAGUUGGACCAGAUGGCCGGCUUUUCUCAUCUACAAUUCAUAGUACAACAAUUCCUUUCCUGUUUUCUGACAAUUUUGAGCAAGUGAGAUGCCAGAUAAUGUUUCCGCAAUGUGUUCAGAAUUGAAAACAGCAGCGUCACGUAGAAGGCAAUUGCUUGCACAUCUGACCAUUACAUUUACAUAUAACAGUAGGAGUUAGGCUACUCCUAACUCCUGUAGGAGCAACAGGCUGUUUUCACCUGCCAUUCCUCAACUUUUCCUGACAAACUAGCUGGAAUUUGAGCAUUUCUAAAAGAAUGAAAAUACACAGAUAUACAAGAAUCAUACAAUCGUAGAAUCAUGAAAGCUGGAAAAGACCUCUAAGAUCACCAAGUCCAACCACCACCCCAUCACAACCAUGCCCACUAACCCAGGUCCCCAGACCCACAUCACCAGGGUUCUCAGAUACCUGUAGGGAUGGUGACUCCACCGCCUUCCUGUACAGCCUGUUCAGGAGGCAGGGAUUCAUAACCCCAUUAGGAAACCCCAGAAACUGUACAAUUCCAUCUUGAAUGCAUUCUGGUAGGUAGACGUUUUCUUCUCAAACUACAGUUAACAAAUACUUCACAAAUCCCUGGAAAUUUAGGGACCACAGUUUGAAAGCUACUGAACUACCAAGCGCAGUAUGUGGAUGUGACAGCUGGAAGACACUUUCUCCUUGACUUAAUGAAGUACAAACAUGCCACUAUUAAAACAGGCUAUAAACUGAAUGUAUUUUAACUUCGGUUAUUUCCUUACCUUCUCUCUCCCUUCUCUCCUCCUUUUCUACACAGAGCCAAAGGAUACCAUCCUCAGCCCCUGCUGGCUUUCAGCUGGCUGCUCCCUGCUGUGCGAAGCCACAGGAAAGUGAUGUUUUCCUCCACUGCUAUCAAGCAGAAAUGUCAGUGUUAAGAUCAAGUGGGUGUGCAAAGCAGCUUGGAGAAGAGAGUUGUGUGAAAUAAUAGCUCCACACAGAGAUUUAAGGCAAGCAGCUUUGUUAAGAGCCAUCUUUUAGAAGAUGACAGCAAAGGCUGAUGUGAAUUUAGAAUUAUUUAUCUUUCUUAAUCUACUUCUUUUUUUUUUUUCUAUGCCUGAGGUAAACACACACACACAAAUGUUGCAUCAGAAUUUGAUUAUGUUCUGUAUAAAAACAGGUGUGUGUCUUCUGCCUGAAGCCCUCAAAAAUAGUAGUGGUAAUGGAUUUUUAUUUGAGCUCACUUCUGCUUUAUAAUAAAUUUUGCUUCCCUGUAAGUGGCAUUAGACAAAGCUGCUGCUAACAAUGGCAUCAGCUAUUGCCUUUUGCUGUCUGCUGUCAGAAGCUCAAAGCCAAAUACUCUGACUCACUGCAGGUGCUACAGAUAAUUAUAUUUUACCACUUUGUGUUACAGUGCUCUGCUAAAAUAAGAGCUGAUUGCAAGACACCGAAAUAAACAUGGCAAGAGGUGACUUCCACUAUAAUGGAUCCUCAGCCUAUGAAUAUGAAAGGUAGGAGGGAGGCCAUUUUUUCCCAGAUAUGUAACAGAUCUGUCUGGUUUUGAUGUCAUUAUGGCAUUUAAUGGUUUAAUCCUACUGCUAACUCACACAGGCAAGUUAUUCAAGGUAGAUAUUGAGAAAAAAAAAACAGCUGCUAAAUGGGGUAUGCUUGUCAGCACCCUGAGAACACAAGAUCUGCAGGGCAAGGGAUGCUCAGAGAGCAGUGCAGCUCUGCUGCUGCUCACUAAGAGUGCAAAGAGUAGAAUACAGCAAUAGGGAAACAGGACAUGGCUUUUAUGAGCAAAGGCAUUGGCUGUUAAGGCUGCACAUUUCCUGUUAGGAAUUCUGGAAUGCUGUUACAUGUCUAUGUAACAAUAAAACCACAGAACUAUA